AGUGACAUAAAUCAUGAUGGAGUGGUGCGUGAAGAUUUGUACAUAUUCCCUGAUCUUUUUCAACAUUCUGGUCAUUAUGGUGGGUUUUGGACUAGCUGCUCUGGGAACAUGGUGUAUGUUCAUUGCUUCAGCCAUAGCAGCUUCAAAAACUGGUGUGAUGUUUAUCGUCCCUGGUAUUCUGAUGAUGCUGGUCGCUGUCGGCGGCAAUUAUGCCGCAUGUAGCCAAAAAAAAACUGCUUUAAAUGUG